UGUGUUUUAUUUUUAAGCCGAUCUUACCUAUUUGCUGGGUUGUUACAAAAAGUUUUGGAAUUUUAAAAAAAUAGUUUACAAAAAUUGACAUUAUUAUUUUACUUAAAGUAAGGUCUCGCGGGUAAUAAGGCCUGUCGGGUAAUAAGGCCUAAGUGACAGAAAUGAUAUUUCAAAUAAUCGCCUACACUAAAGGCUACGCUAGUAGAAGGGUCUUGCAUAGAAAGUUACCACAAGUUUAUCGAGUUCCGAUACCACGUUCCCUGUCUUCUAUAUUUCAUCAUCCAUCAUAUGCUGUCGUAGCGCAGAAGAAAUUAUUAAAAACAAUCUAGUCUUCUGACUUUUAAAAAGGAUACUGAUAGUUUCAAGUGCUGUUGAGCAAAGCAAUCUAGUCCUCUGACUCUUAAAAAGAGUAAGUGUGGAGCUGAUGCGCAUUUCGUGUGGAUCCAGUAUGAAAUUGAUGACGAUUUAGUACGGAAUCAAUGUUGACUUGAAUCAGUGGCCAUUGGUCUUAAAUUGUCAAAUUACAACUGGCUGGAAUCGUUUAAACUUUGAUUCAAUUAAGGUUAUCAUGAAAAAUAACUGUUACGGAAUAUAUGACAAUUUCAGAAUUUGUGUGAUGGCAGUCUUUGCCUUCGGUUUCAGUAAACAUCCCUUUUGUAAAAAAUCCUCAUGUUUAAUCUAUUUCAAGACAACUUCAAUUUCAAGACAACAUACUUCUUAAUAAUAAUUUAUUUUGAUUCCCAUUGAAAAUUAUUCGUAGCUGAAUAAAUUCAGUCCAGAUUUCCAGACGGAAUUUAUGGAUAAAGAUAUCAAAGGUCAUAUUUUAAAAAUUUAGACAAAUUUAUGUCAAAGAGUUUGAAAGCCAGAUAUCCGCCGUAUCCUUUACAUCCACGAUGAAAAAUACCAACGCCGCCCAUAGGUCUUGUGAGUAUUUUAACGUUUUGUCCAUCAAAAAAAGGUACUGUAGUUUGUCCAGCAUCUUUACUGACAUCAGAAGCACGAAAUUUAAUGAAUUCAUUUGUCGCCGAAUCAGGAUCAUUUUUUGGUGAUUUUGUUGGCUUGUCAGGAUUUUCUAGCGGCAGUUCAUAUCUAAAAUGAGCACAAAGCAAUCAGUAGAUGUUAUUAUUGAUACUAAUAGAUACAGUAGAAGAUAUAGAAAUAGAUAAUAAUGACCUCGCAUUUUGGGAUUCGACAGCUAUCCAACGUGUAUUAUCAAUAUCUACAAGUUUACCUCUAACGAAAUCGAAAGGCGUAACACGAAUUUGUAAUUGAAUAGGGAGAUACUUGUAUUGUGGAUAAAUGAAUAAAUCUCCAGCAUAUCUAAAUCUUACUCCCGUGACCACGUAACCUGGAGGUGCAACAAUGUCAUCAAAAUUCAUUAUUUCUGGGUAUGCAUAAUGAGUUCCCAGUAGUAAUGGAAGUUGCCACGAUUCGUUAUUUGUAACAUAAUAUUUUUCUCCACGUUCAUCAUAACUAAUAUUUUCCAAUGGUUUCCAUUGGUCAAGACUAAUUCUUCCAAGAGGCAGCAAUGUUCCUUCAUAUAUUUGAACUUGAAUCAUCGAAAAUGUCUUUACAAAUUUAAUGCUUACGACGACCCUGAAAUAACGACCGAAUUCAAAGCUCAUCUUUCAAUCCAUUUCGUUAAUGAAAUUAUUAUUUUGUCUAAUAAAAAAAGAAACAAAUAGCAAACUUGUUUUUAUUGAUGUCCGAUACUUGGUUUCUAAAACUGAUAGCAGUAACGACCCUUGGUGAUUGUGAUGGUUUUAUUAGACAGGUACAAAGGAAACUACAGCAUUGAAAGCUAUCCGAUGAGCUAGAUCUAUCAUUACCAAUGGAGCUUAUACG